GAUGAACGCUGGCGGCGUGCCUAAUACAUGCAAGUCGAGCGAACGGACGAGAGGCUUGCUUUUCUGAUGUUAGCGGCGGACGGGUGAGUAACACGUGGAUAACCUACCUAUAAGACUGGGAUAACUUCGGGAAACCGGAGCUAAUACCGGAUAAUAUUUUGAACCGCAUGGUUCAAAAGUGAAAGACGGUCUUGCUGUCACUUAUAGAUGGAUCCGCGCUGCAUUAGCUAGUUGGUAAGGUAACGGCUUACCAAGGCAACGAUGCAUAGCCGACCUGAGAGGGUGAUCGGCCACACUGGAACUGAGACACGGUCCAGACUCCUACGGGAGGCAGCAGUAGGGAAUCUUCCGCAAUGGGCGAAAGCCUGACGGAGCAACGCCGCGUGAGUGAUGAAGGUCUUCGGAUCGUAAAACUCUGUUAUUAGGGAAGAACAUAUGUGUAAGUAACUGUGCACACCUUGACGGUACCUAAUCAGAAAGCCACGGCUAACUACGUGCCAGCAGCCGCGGUAAUACGUAGGUGGCAAGCGUUAUCCGGAAUUAUUGGGCGUAAAGCGCGCGUAGGCGGUUUUUUAAGUCUGAUGUGAAAGCCCACGGCUCAACCGUGGAGGGUCAUUGGAAACUGGAAAACUUGAGUGCAGAAGAGGAAAGUGGAAUUCCAUGUGUAGCGGUGAAAUGCGCAGAGAUAUGGAGGAACACCAGUGGCGGAGGCGACUUUCUGGUCUGUAACUGACGCUGAUGUGCGAAAGCGUGGGGAUCAAACAGGAUUAGAUACCCUGGUAGUCCACGCCGUAAACGAUGAGUGCUAAGUGUUAGGGGGUUUCCGCCCCUUAGUGCUGCAGCUAACGCAUUAAGCACUCCGCCUGGGGAGUACGACCGCAAGGUUGAAACUCAAAGGAAUUGACGGGGACCCGCACAAGCGGUGGAGCAUGUGGUUUAAUUCGAAGCAACGCGAAGAACCUUACCAAAUCUUGACAUCCUUUGACAACUCUAGAGAUAGAGCCUUCCCCUUCGGGGGACAAAGUGACAGGUGGUGCAUGGUUGUCGUCAGCUCGUGUCGUGAGAUGUUGGGUUAAGUCCCGCAACGAGCGCAACCCUUAAGCUUAGUUGCCAUCAUUAAGUUGGGCACUCUAAGUUGACUGCCGGUGACAAACCGGAGGAAGGUGGGGAUGACGUCAAAUCAUCAUGCCCCUUAUGAUUUGGGCUACACACGUGCUACAAUGGACAAUACAAAGGGCAGCGAAACCGCGAGGUCAAGCAAAUCCCAUAAAGUUGUUCUCAGUUCGGAUUGUAGUCUGCAACUCGACUACAUGAAGCUGGAAUCGCUAGUAAUCGUAGAUCAGCACGCUACGGUGAAUACGUUCCCGGGUCU
rnacentral:rRNA from 1 species